UUUUAGAGUUUCCAGUUUUUCUGCUCUGUUUUUCCCCCAUCUUUGUGGUUUUAUCUACUUUUGGUCUUUGAUGAUGGUGAUGUACAGAUGGGUUUUUGGUGUGGAUGUCCUUUCUGUUUGUUAGUUUUCCUUCUAACAGACAGGACCCUCAGCUGCAGGUCUGUUGGAGUUUGCUAGAGCAGAUUUUCGUGAACCGUGAAUGCUGCUGUCUGAUUGUUCCUCUGGAAGUUUUGUCUCAGAGGAGUACCUGGCCGUGUGAGGUGUCAGUCUGCCCCUACUGAGGGGUGCCUCCCAGUUAGGCUGCUCGGGGGUCAGGGGUCAGGGACCCACUUGAGGAGGCAGCCUGCCCAUUCUUAGAUCUCCAGCUGCGUGCUGGGAGGAUCACUGCUCUCUUCAACACAUGCCCACUUGGGCUCCAGCACCUGUCUGUCUGCGAGCUCCCCCUUCCCUCAGGGGUUUGAGCAGCGGAGAGACUGAACAGGCGAGCCACACACCUGUUGCACAUCCUGUGAGGGGAAUCAGGGAACUCUCCCAUUCACCUGGACCACCAGUGUCAGCAUCACCUGUGGGGAGCUAGAUGCUGGCAUGUGCUAAUUGGAUGACGGCAUUGAGUCCAACUGGGUUCGUAAAUGUGUGCAUAGGCAGUGAACAGAACACAUUUCAAACAGAAUCAUCUUGGAAAUGCUUUGAUUCUCUCAGAUAAGCAUUAUGACCCUACACUCCUGGGAACCUGGCAUCAGUCUGCCAUGCUGUUAUUGGUAAGACCCUGCCUUGGAUAUCAGUUCUGCUGGGGAGGCAGCAGUGGCUGCUGCUGCUGCUGCUGCUGUAUCUUCCCAGACUCUUUCACCCUGAAAGGCCUUAAUUUGUCCAUCUUCACAGUGGGCAUCAUCCAGAUUAGUCACGUGCUAUGCCAAGUGCUCCAGGCAUAAGUCUUUCUGAAUGAAUCUGACUUGAAAGCACAGAGCAUUAGGUAUGCCGCUUGAAAUGCAGCAAAACCAGAUGGAGAAAGCUGAGAGGAAACGCUGGUCUUUUUAGGCAGUCUGGGAGCCCAAGGAAGGGCUAUUCAGGUUGCAGGUGCUGGUGAAAAAAAAAUGGAGUGGAGAAAGGAUACUUCCUAGUCUGAGAAGAGUGAUGCUUCUCCUUUUCCAUCUCCUGUCUUGGCAGCUCCUGCCACUUCCAGUAGGCCAGCAUGCCUCGUCAAGAAGAGGUCUAGAUGACAGACUGGAAAAGUUUGAGCUUGCUGACGCGACUGGAAAGGUUUGAGCUCACUGGAGCAGGUUUGCUUUCCUGGUGUGCUCACCUCAAUCCCUUGUGAGGCCAGGUUCCUACACUGCACUAGUCAAAGGGACGGCUUUCUCCCAUAAGUCAC
rnacentral:lncRNA from 1 species